GUGACUGCGUACCUUUUGUAUAAUGGGUCAGCGACUUAUAUUCUGUAGCAAGGUUAACCGAAUAGGGGAGCCGCAGGGAAACCGAGUCUUAAUUGGGCGUUAAGUUGCAGGGUAUAGACCCGAAACCCGGUGAUCUAGCCAUGGGCAGGUUGAAGGUUGGGUAACACUAACUGGAGGACCGAACCGACUAAUGUUGAAAAAUUAGCGGAUGACCUGUGGCUGGGGGUGAAAGGCCAAUCAAACCGGGAGAUAGCUGGUUCUCCCCGAAAGCUAUUUAGGUAGCGCCUCGUGAAUUCAUCUCCGGGGGUAGAGCACUGUUUCGGCUAGGGGGCCAUCCCGGCUUACCAACCCGAUGCAAACUGCGAAUACCGGAGAAUGUUAUCACGGGAGACACACGGCGGGUGCUAACGUCCGUCGUGAAGAGGGAAACAACCCAGACCGCCAGCUAAGGUCCCAAAGUCAUGGUUAAGUGGGAAACGAUGUGGGAAGGCCCAGACAGCCAGGAUGUUGGCUUAGAAGCAGCCAUCAUUUAAAGAAAGCGUAAUAGCUCACUGGUCGAGUCGGCCUGCGCGGAAGAUGUAACGGGGCUAAACCAUGCACCGAAGCUGCGGCAGCGACGCUGAUGCGUUGUUGGGUAGGGGAGCGUUCUGUAAGCCUGUGAAGGUGUGUCGUGAGGCAUGCUGGAGGUAUCAGAAGUGCGAAUGCUGACAUAAGUAACGAUAAAGCGGGUGAAAAGCCCGCUCGCCGGAAGACCAAGGGUUCCUGUCCAACGUUAAUCGGGGCAGGGUGAGUCGACCCCUAAGGCGAGGCCGAAAGGCGUAGUCGAUGGGAAACGGGUUAAUAUUCCCGUACUUGGUGUUACUGCGAAGGGGGGACGGAGAAGGCUAUGUUGGCCGGGCGACGGUUGUCCCGGUUUAAGCGUGUAGGUGUGUGUUCCAGGUAAAUCCGGUUCACUUUAACACUGAGGCGUGAUGACGAGGCACUACGGUGCUGAAGCAACAAAUGCCCUGCUUCCAGGAAAAGCCUCUAAGCAUCAGGUAACAUCAAAUCGUACCCCAAACCGACACAGGUGGUCAGGUAGAGAAUACCAAGGCGCUUGAGAGAACUCGGGUGAAGGAACUAGGCAAAAUGGUGCCGUAACUUCGGGAGAAGGCACGCUGACACGUAGGUGAAGUGAUUUACUCA
rnacentral:rRNA from 1 species